UACAGGGGGUGCAAACGUUGCUCGGAAUUAUUGGGCGUAAAGCGCACGUAGGCGGUUUGUUAUGUCGGAUGUGAAAGCCCUUGGCUCAACUGAGGAAGUGCAUCCGAAACUGGCAAGCUAGAGUAUAUAAGAGGGUCGCGGAAUUCCCGGUGUAGAGGUGAAAUUCGUAGAUAUCGGGAGGAACACCGGUGGCGAAGGCGGCGACCUGGGACAAUACUGACGCUGAGGUGCGAAAGCGUGGGGAGCAAACAGG
rnacentral:rRNA from 1 species